UGCAAACCAAUUUGAUGUAGAGUGCGGCAUAUGGUCUGAGCACUAACAGGCUGACCCCCUCACCCCCACCUCUCCAAUCUUUGCAGCAAUGCUGACAGCACUCCUGUAACGAGUCACAUGACAUUUUGGAGGGAAAAUGACAAGCAGUACUCAAUUUGGACAUUUAGGAAUGUAGUUUCUAAGGGGUGUACUCACUUUUGUUGCCAGGGGUUUAGAUAUUAAUGGCUAUAUUUUGAGGGGAAAAUGAAUGAACUCUAUUGUAUAAGCUGCACACAGACUACUUUUCAUUGUGUCAUUUUGUCAGUGUUGUCCCAUGAAAAGAUAUACUUAAAUAUCUGUAGAAAUGCGAGCGGUGUACUCACUUUUGUGAUACUGGUGAUACUGAAUCUGCAAAGUUAAAACUUGAAAACAUCGCUCCAUGUGAUGUUUAUUCCUUUCAAAUCAUUGCGACAGUGUGUUUUUAUUUUUCUAACAAGUGGUAAUUCUAAUUUAAUUCACUGAAAUGUAUGUGCAACUUUACAGCUCCUUCUCUUUUGGCUGUGGAGAAGGUAACACAAACACUUGCCAAAAUAAGAAAUCCUACACAAAGCUGUGAUCAAACUGUUGGCUGUCAUCCCAGUCUUCUAUCUCGCUGUCAGCACAGAGGAACUAGACCCAGCUCAAGGCAGUCACACUGACCUGGCUUUUUGUUGACAUCGGCAGUGAACAACCAAUCGGCCGCUUUCUUGGCAUCUGGACCGGAGCUUGUCCGUCCUUGGUGAACCAGCCUGGUCUCUCCCAGCCGUGUCUCUCCUGGAACACGCAGCCUCGCUCUGUCAGCACCUAAAAACAAACGAAGGAAGCCAACAGUCACUAUUGAAGAAAACCAUGCAGAUCUAAAGGUUCGG